AACGUAUUGUGUGUAGACUAGCUUUAUCAAGAGGUAUAUCUUUCAAUUUGAGUACUCGUUUGUUUGUUUGGCAACUUUCUCGACGUCUACAACCGUCUGUAUUAGCAGCAUUAUUGCAAAUUCUGUCUUCUGAUCGAGAUCUCUCGUGUGUUGGAUUGUUUGAUAAAGUAACAAUUCAAGUCUUAUGUAAAGGAUCGCAAGAACGGGACAAAUCAAGCUUAGAAAUGAUUUAACACGUGCGAGAUGACAUUGUCUUUUCUGAUUUCUCAUAUUUCUAUCGCCCAUAUAUACUGUACCUAAUUCAAAUAAGGUUGUCCUUUCACAACCAUAUAUCGCCAUAUAUACUAUACAGCUAAUUCAAAUAAGGUUGUCCUUUCACAACCUUAAACGUUAAACUUUGAGCGCGCCUAUUAACCUUAAACACAAAAUAAUUAAAUUGCCUUUCAGCAAGUAUGCUUUAAAAAAUCUGUCGUGAGUCUUCUAUGUCUUGCGGGGUAUUAUUGCAGUCUAAAUAGUCUAAAUAUGCAAAGAACCAUCAUCCGUUGAGCGUUAAAGGUCUAACGUUUAUGGUUAUAGCAGGACAACGUUAAUUGAAUCAGCUGUAAGUAAAUAAGAUAGUGUAAUUGUUGUAAAUCAAACGAUUUUCCAAAUACAGGUAUUACACCGAACACUUUGUUUUAAAC